GAUCGGUGCUUGCACCGAGAUUCAACAUGGAACGAGUGGCGGACGGGUGAGUAACACGUGGGUAACCUGCCCUUAAGUGGGGGAUAACAUUUGGAAACAGAUGCUAAUACCGCAUAGAUCCAAGAACCGCAGGGUUCUUGGCUGAAAGAUGGCGUAAGCUAUCGCUUUUGGAUGGACCCGCGGCGUAUUAGCUAGUUGGUGAGGUAAUGGCUCACCAAGGCGAUGAUACGUAGCCGAACUGAGAGGUUGAUCGGCCACAUUGGGACUGAGACACGGCCCAAACUCCUACGGGAGGCAGCAGUAGGGAAUCUUCCACAAUGGACGCAAGUCUGAUGGAGCAACGCCGCGUGAGUGAAGAAGGCUUUCGGGUCGUAAAACUCUGUUGUUGGAGAAGAAUGGUCGGCAGAGUAACUGUUGUCGGCGUGACGGUAUCCAACCAGAAAGCCACGGCUAACUACGUGCCAGCAGCCGCGGUAAUACGUAGGUGGCAAGCGUUAUCCGGAUUUAUUGGGCGUAAAGCGAGCGCAGGCGGUUUUUUAAGUCUGAUGUGAAAGCCCUCGGCUUAACCGAGGAAGCGCAUCGGAAACUGGGAAACUUGAGUGCAGAAGAGGACAGUGGAACUCCAUGUGUAGCGGUGAAAUGCGUAGAUAUAUGGAAGAACACCAGUGGCGAAGGCGGCUGUCUGGUCUGUAACUGACGCUGAGGCUCGAAAGCAUGGGUAGCGAACAGGAUUAGAUACCCUGGUAGUCCAUGCCGUAAACGAUGAAUGCUAGGUGUUGGAGGGUUUCCGCCCUUCAGUGCCGCAGCUAACGCAUUAAGCAUUCCGCCUGGGGAGUACGACCGCAAGGUUGAAACUCAAAGGAAUUGACGGGGGCCCGCACAAGCGGUGGAGCAUGUGGUUUAAUUCGAAGCAACGCGAAGAACCUUACCAGGUCUUGACAUCUUUUGAU
rnacentral:rRNA from 1 species